GCAAGCCAAAGGUGUGGCGUGGACAGCCAUAGCAGCAAUCAUAUAAGUGCAAUUUUAAGCCUUCCGAAACUUUGAUAUUUCAAUCCCAAUUGUUUUGAUAUUAUAGUUUAGUUUUUGAACAAUUUUAUGCUGAUUUCCUUAGAUGCUAUAAUCAUUGUUUUUUUGCGUUUUCAAAUGUUGUAAUCGCGGUUAGGAUGAUGCUAAGUAGGAGAAUAGGGAUGUGUUCUUUAUUGUUCUAAAUUUACUGUGCUUUUUUAAAGUUCUUCGAAGCAAUAGUGUUUUUUUUUGCAAUUCAGGGGAUUGGUUCAAUUGGAUGUUAUUUCUCAUGUAGGUGCUAACAAUAUGUAUCUCGAUUUAUCAUCUUGGGAUUUUGUGCGAUUUAUCAAUAUGUAUCUUUAAUGCAUGUAGAAGCCUUGAACAAAAGCUUAACAUCUUUUUUUUAAGGUGCAUUAGAAUGACAUCAUUGCAAAUUGAACGGCAACAUAAAUAUGGUUUUGGUCAAAUUUAGGAUGCUGGCUUAUUAAAUAAAGCCAUUUUUAAUUGAGGAAAAAUUAAAAUAAGUUGUUGUUAAACAAUAGAGAGAUACUUUUGCUUCUAAAGAGAUUUAGCUUUGAAAUUUUGGUGGUUGUGUUUUUUCUAAUGUACUCUUUCUCAUUGUAUAUUACAAAAAAAGUAUGCUUUGUUAUUAAAAAUAAUUAAAUGACAUGGUAAUAAUGGCUUGAUUUAUAAUGUUUAGCAUUAGUCAUACUCGUUCAUAUUACUGGCUUGCUGCAUGGUAAUAGGUGACAAAACCAUGGUGCUAUGUUGGGUACUGAAAUAAGAAUGCAACUUUGAAAAAGAUAUUUAUAAUUUAUUUUUUAAAAAAAUUUGAUAUACAUAUAAUCAAUUUGGUGUUUAAUUUUAUAUUAUUUAGUUUAUCUUUAAACGACUUACUUUUACCAAGUCAAAAAAAAUGAUGAUUCAUUAGGUAAUUCCUGCGAAGGGCCCUGCUGAUGUCAUUUCAGGAAUCUUUAAGCAAAAAUUUGAGGGAGCGUGGCCCACUUGGAAGGCUGUGGAUGAAUCAGUUUGGGAUAUAUGGUUUGGAGUGUUUCAGAAAUAGUAUAAGUGGGAUCCACAACAUGAUCGGGCUAUAAGAAAGACUUUUGAGCAUAAAGGAUCAACUCUUCUGAAAAAUGCUAUGCAUAAGGUUAGACAAGGUGUCGAUAAGGGAAAUUGGAUCCCUGAAAAUUCUCGAGCUAUUUUGGAUCAACAUUGAUCUUCUGAAAAAUUUCAAAACAAAAGUAAUAUUGCUAAAGGGAGUCGGGCUAUAGAGAAUGGAGCAACAACCUACAUUGGUGGCUCCAUAUCUACAGGAGCCCACUUUGAAAAAUUCACUAAUUAAGGAGCUAAAUCAUCCCCCUACUGCUUGGGAAUUAGUGGAAAAGAAAAGAAAAACUCACGAUUGAAGAAUGGGUCAGUGAUAAAGUCUGCAACAUUGCUGAGAAAUAUAAGGAGUGUUUAAUUGAAGUUAAGCAACAAGCUACACAGGAUGGCAUAAAGGGAACUUGUAUGGGCUUGCUGGAUUGACUAAUGAUUUCAUUCGCUCAACACUUUCACAAUCUUCUAUGUCACAUCCAUCACCAGUCACUAUAGGGGUGAUAAAAGAAAUGCAAAAUAGGAUAGCUAAAUUAAAUGCUGAGCUUGCUGCAAAGGAAGUAAAGGAAAAAGCAUUGGAAGAACAUAUAUGACAACAUGAUGAGCAAAUGCAGUAUAUACUACGCAACCUCAACAUUGACCUUUUAAGGCCAACUCUUCCUCCACCGAGUACUACCCUAGAUGAUCCUGAGCAUGGUGUUGAUGAUGCUCUUGAUGAGAUAGCAGAAGACCCUUAAUUAGGCUCCUUUAUUUUACUUGUUUUAGGAUUUCUAGAUGUAUUUCACUUGUAAUUUGUUGAGGAAACCCUUGAUUACUUGUUUUAGGAUUUUUUGUUGUAUUUGACUAUUACUUUGUUGAAGUUUAAAUGUUUUAUGUUA